rnacentral:rRNA from 1 species
UGGUCAAGUUAUUAAGGGUGCAGGGCGGAUGCCUUGGCACUAGGAGCCGAUGAAGGACGUGAUAAGCUGCGAUAAGCUUCGGGGAGUUGCACGUAAACUUUGAUCCGAAGAUUUCCGAAUGAGGAAACUCACUUAGAGUAAUGUCUAAGUAUCAUUAAGUGAAUACAUAGCUUAAUGAGGGGAACUCAGGGAACUGAAACAUCUAAGUACCUGAAGGAAGAGAAAGAAAUUCGAUUCCGUAAGUAGCGGCGAGCGAACGCGGA